rnacentral:tRNA from 1 species
UCGUUUAAAGCUUUAUUAGAAGCAUCUCAUUGUUAAUGAGAGGAUGGGGGCACCCCUGAACGAU